rnacentral:rRNA from 1 species
UACGUAGGGUGCUAGCGUUGUCCGGAUUUAUUGGGCGUAAAGGGCUCGUAGGCGGUCUGUCACGUCGGGAGUGAAAACACGGGGCUUAACCCCGUGCCUGCUUCCGAUACGGGCAGACUAGAGGUAUGCAGGGGAGAACGGAAUUCCUGGUGUAGCGGUGAAAUGCGCAGAUAUCAGGAGGAACACCGGUGGCGAAGGCGGUUCUCUGGGCAUUACCUGACGCUGAGGAGCGAAAGUGUGGGGAGCGAACAGG